rnacentral:misc_RNA from 1 species
UAAUAAGUGUUUUAUGGCACUUUUUAAAUCCAUAUCCACCUUGUGUGCAAUGUCGUCGAUCUUCUUCAUGGAGAUCGACCAAACAUCAACCUUUAUCUUUUAACUCUUUGUCUGAAAAAUAUUAUGAAUAAACAAUUCAAAAUA